UUUGGGGGGGGGGGCAUUAUUCUCUACUAACUCUCUUCUCUCCGCCGGUUUUAUCUUCGGCUCUUCCGUUUGAAGAAUUUUUUAUUAAGUCGUUUUUCACCACCUUCAGUUCUCCAGGCAUGUCCAGAACAUGCUGAAAAUCGACUGUUACACACAGUCCUCAGACGGGGACCUCCAAUAUGCAGCUAAGUAAAUUACUGCAUCUGUUACUGCAGUUCCCAAACUCACAGAUUUUUACAAACAGGGCUACCAGAAAGGACAGCGAUGUUCCUGGCUUUGGCUCCCAAAUUGGGUCCUUCGUCCUCUCUUCAAACUGUGGUGUUGAUGCGAUAAAGCACCGGGGUGGGUAAGCCUGGCAGGCCAUGCCAAGGUAUCCUGCUAAGAAAUCAAACCACACAGCAAAUCUAGUGGAAGAGGUUUAUUGGGCUAGGAGGAAGAGUGAAGGGCGACAUCGAGUGAGGACAUUAAGAAGAGAUGGAGACGGCAGGCAGGCAGGCAGGCAGGCAGGCAAGAGAGAAGGGGAAGAGAGAAACCCGGAAGUGGCCGGAGACUUUUAUGUGAUGAACCGGAGAACCUGGUGCACCUGGCAGUAGCAGGUGAUGACGUAAGCUGCUGCUAGGUCGUUGAGGGCAGGCCAGUGAAAGCGACAGUAUUAGACUGAGCUGCAGUUAAACAGUGAAGCAGGUUGGGGAUUUAGCUCAGUAGUAGAGCACUUGCCUAGCAAGCGCAAGGCCCUGGGUUCGGUCCCCAGCUCCGAAAAAAAGAAAGAAAAAAAAAAAAAAGAGGGUAAACAGUGAAGCAGACUCUACUCUUGGUCAAGGAUAGUAGAAUGGGAAUCCAGGAGUGGUGGUGGAUCAUACUUCUAAUCACAGCACCUGGUACAGAGGCAGAAAGGGCAGGAAUUCGAAGUCAUCCUUGGCUUCAAUGCAGUCUCUCCACCUCCAUGGCUCGCCCCACGCAGUGCCUGCCUAUCUCGAGGCUCUCUUGCUGUGGACUCCGUUCAUAUUCCCAGCUACCCGGCCUGAAGAAACCAGUAGAGUUGAUGGAGAAUGGACCAGCCAGGUCCCAGGGAGGCAAAGCCAUGUGAACGCCCUGAAUCAGCAUGGACCCAGAGGGACCUGAGCUAUAAGCCCAGGUGUGGCCCUUGGUGGAGCUGUAGGCGCAGUUCAGUCACCUGAUGACACCCUGCCCUUCCUGGCCUCUCAUUCAUCACCAGCAUAAUCUUCUGGAGCACCUACCUACACAGAGUCUGUGUGCUCCUGUAAAUUCUACCCCAUAGCUGUUGUGAGUCUUUACCAUUUCUGGAGCAUUAAUUGUGACAUUCUCAAA